UACGUAGGUGGCAAGCGUUGUCCGGAAUUACUGGGCGUAAAGGGCGCGUAGGCGGCCUGUUAAGUCGAACGUGAAAUCCCCGGGCUCAACCCGGGAACUGCGUCCGAUACUGGCAGGCUUGAAUCCGGGAGAGGGAUGUGGAAUUCCAGGUGUAGCGGUGAAAUGCGUAGAUAUCUGGAGGAACACCGGUGGCGAAGGCGGCAUCCUGGACCGGUAUUGACGCUGAGGCGCGAAAGCCAGGGGAGCAAACGGG
rnacentral:rRNA from 1 species